rnacentral:precursor_RNA from 14 species
AUUCUUAUUGUUACACUGACUUUUAGUUCAUGUAAACAUCCUACACUCAGCUAUAACAACUGGAACGGCUGGGAGGUGGAUGUUUACUUCAACUGAUUUGAAAAGGCAGCCUUUCCGAAA